rnacentral:tRNA from 1 species
ACCUGGGUGGCUCAGCGGUUGAGCAUCUGCCUGUGGCUCAGGUCAUGACCCUGGGGUCCUGGGAUCGAGUCCCACCUCAGGCU